rnacentral:tRNA from 1 species
GACUUCGUAGCUCAGCUAGGUAGAGCAAAUGACUCUUAAUCAUUGGGUCGAGGGUUCGAUCCCCUCCGAGGUCA